rfam:Xenopus laevis strain J chromosome 4L, whole genome shotgun sequence.
GUGCACUGACAAGUGUCUUCAUGAUCCUUUCCUUGAUCUUGGAGUCUCAUUCCAGUGCAAGAAUAAGAUUCCUUCUUGCAGAAAGGUCAGGUUGUAAUGUAGCCUGACCUUUCCUAGAGUUGGAUACAUUG